rnacentral:lncRNA from 1 species
UCUACACACACUGAAAUCUUUAAAUUUGGAAUGGUAUACUGUCUGGAAUUCUCUCCAAAAUGAUAUAGGAGGAAAGAGAUGAAUGAAAAGAUACUUGAAAUAAGAUUGGCCAGAAAUUGGUAUUUCUUCCGAGUGCAUGGUAAAUGAUUCUUUAUGCUAUUCUGCCUACUUUUGUCCAUGCUGGAAAUUCUUCACACACAAAAAAAGUUUUAUAACAACGUUGUGGAAUUCUAAGCAUCUGAUGAAAGUCUCUGUAUUAGUCUAAAAGAGUAGACCAGAAGGAGGGGAAUUAAGAUGAGGGCUGUCUGAACAGCUCUGCGGGAGAGAGAGUGCCAGGGAAUGCAGGGGACAAAUAAAGGGUUGCUGAGCAGCUG